AUAAUCCUCUUCGUCUCUUCAUUACUCCUCUGUGAUAUUCAAGAGUCAUAAAGCUUCAUUAUUAACUGCAACAAUCGAUGGUCAUGCAACUGUUACGAUUCCCUCAACCUCAACUUUAUAUAUACCUCUAUUCGGAAAUUCUUGGUCUCACCUAAAUCACCAUAACCAAAUAUUCACAGCAGCAUAUGGCUACCACUGCCAGAACGGAGCAAUCAACCGGCAUGGCUUUUUUCUUCGGCUAUUCAAUUGAGCAAAGAGAUUCGGGUUUCAUUUCUUGGGGAGAUUUUGAUGCUGAUUGCGAUAACUUGAUGAUUCGUCUUUAGGCCUAAGGAUUGUUUGGAGGAUUCCUUGUGAAGAACUCUGAUAAUAAUAAGCUUUAUCGGCCGGUGAUGCUGUAUUUGAGGUCAUGUGAUGUUGGUGAGAUUACAAGUUUGGAUCAGACAAGGUCAUAAUUGAUGGGCUACAAAUAUUCAAAUGGUCCGAUUCAUUUUUUUAAGUUCAACCACAAGAAAACAUUCCACAAAUUGUUAUCACGGACUAUACUGCAGGGAGCAAUCGUUUGUGUAGGAGACAGCCUGAACUCUUCUUCCAUCUAAUCAAGAACCAAAGGCUUCCGAGCUCCAGAAGUACAUCAAGUAUCACCCAUUAAAGAAAAAGGCAUGUGAUGAAGUUGUUGACGUGGGCAAUGAGGACGAGGAUGAUAACAAGGAAGAUGACCAAGAAGUAAAACAAAAAAAAAACUGAGAGUUUAAGAAUUCAAGGUUAACAUCAAUGCUUUAUAGUUGCAACUUGAUGGACUAUGUGUGAUGGUAAUUCUUGGCCCCAUCAUCCUCUCAUGAUCUAGGUCUUACUUGGAAACAACAGUCUUUGCAAUGUAGAAAACCAUGAGCUUCAUAGGCUGGUUUAUCUUCUUGUGAGGCCUGGACUUGACCAUCGUAAGAAGGCUGGCGCCAUGAAUUCGUUGAUACGAGUCUUGGGGGUUCUAUCAAUUGUGCCUUAUCUUUUGAAUGUCGGCUGUGAUCACUACAUCUACAAUAGCAAAACUCUAAGAGAAGCAAUGUGUUUUGUGGUAACUUCUAAGUCAGGAAAGGACAUUUGUUAUGUUCACCACUACCCUCAAAGAGACGACAGAUACAUUAAUGGCAACAUUUUAUUCUUCGGUGUAAGUACACAAUACUUCUAUCACCAAAAAGAUAGAAGUAUUAUAGUUCUAUACAGCCUCAGCUUAAUUAACUGCAAUGGAAUCACUACAUCUGUCUGCUGUGAUCACUACAUCUACUUCUAUCCCGACAAGAUGUAUCUGGAUAGAUGGCAAUAGUCCACAUCCUUUUUUUGGUCAAAAUGUUAAAUAUUAUAGUUCACAUCUUCACAAUGAGUUUUGUAAUUGUUCAAUGUGACAAAUGUAUCGCAUGUAUCAUGUAUAUGCAUGUUACAUACACUAGUUGAUGACUGAUUUAUUUGCU